GGUGGAAAGAUUUAUCGGUUGGGGAUGGACUCGCGGCCUAUCAGCUUGUUGGUGAGGUAAUGGCUCACCAAGGCGACGACGGGUAGCCGGCCUGAGAGGGUGACCGGCCACACUGGGACUGAGACACGGCCCAGACUCCUACGGGAGGCAGCAGUGGGGAAUAUUGCACAAUGGGCGCAAGCCUGAUGCAGCGACGCCGCGUGAGGGAUGACGGCCUUCGGGUUGUAAACCUCUUUCAGUAGGGAAGAAGCGAGAGUGACGGUACCUGCAGAAGAAGCGCCGGCUAACUACGUGCCAGCAGCCGCGGUAAUACGUAGGGCGCAAGCGUUAUCCGGAUUUAUUGGGCGUAAAGAGCUCGUAGGCGGUUUGUCGCGUCUAUCGUGAAAGUCCGAGGCUCAACCUCGGAUCUGCGGUGGGUACGGGCAGACUAGAGUGAUGUAGGGGAGACUGGAAUUCCUGGUGUAGCGGUGAAAUGCGCAGAUAUCAGGAGGAACACCGAUGGCGAAGGCAGGUCUCUGGGCAUUUACUGACGCUGAGGAGCGAAAGCAUGGGGAGCGAACAGGAUUAGAUACCCUGGUAGUCCAUGCCGUAAACGUUGGGCACUAGGUGUGGGGGACAUUCCACGUUUUCCGCGCCGUAGUUGACGCAUUAAGUGCCCCGCCUGGGGAGUACGGCCGCAAGGCUAAAACUCAAAGGAAUUGACGGGAGCCCGCACAAGCGGCGGAGCAUGCGGAUUAAUUCGAUGCAACGCGAAGAACCUUACCAAGGCUUGACAUGUUCCAGAUCGCCUCAGAGAUGGGGUUUCCCUUCGGGGCUGGUUCACAGGUGGUGCAUGGUUGUCGUCAGCUCGUGUCGUGAGAUGUUGGGUUAAGUCCCGCAACGAGCGCAACCCUCGUUCCAUGUUGCCAGCGGGUUAUGCCGGGGACUCAUGGGAGACUGCCGGGGUCAACUCGGAGGAAGGUGGGGAUGACGUCAAAUCAUCAUGCCCCUUAUGUCUUGGGCUUCACGCAUGCUACAAUGGCCGGUACAAUGGGUUGCGAUACUGUGAGGUGGAGCUAAUCCCUAAAAGCCGGUCUCAGUUCGGAUUGGGGUCUGCAACUCGACCCCAUGAAGUCGGAGUCGCUAGUAAUCGCAGAUCAGCAACGCUGCGGUGAAUACGUUCCCGGGCCUUGUACUCACCGCCCGUCAAG
rnacentral:rRNA from 1 species